rnacentral:lncRNA from 1 species
AGGGCCUUGUUUACAUCAAAUGUUUAUUACUUCCCUUUUCAACAGCAAUGAGCAAAGCAAGUAAAAGAGGAAGUGGAAAAGCACUGAAAAAAUAAAUAAAUACUGCCAGAAGGGAACUCUAACAGGAUAAAUCAGAGUAUAAGGAUAGUUUAGGCAUUUUGGUAUCUCAUUUGUUUUUGGGUUAAUUGCUACUAUAUUGGCUUGGAUGGAUUGGUCAUGUCACACAGUCAUCUGGGCUGAUUUUUUAAGCCGCCAAGAGCAACAGUGUUACAAGUAAUUUUAAAGUCCUCAUGUGACUUCUCAACUGGUCAUGUCAGUUUUAAUUAAGUCAUGAUAGUUGUUUAGCUCAGGCUUUUUUCAAGGUCUUCCAUGUUUGGAUUGACAAAUUAACAAUAGAGUGUUGAAUAAAAUAUCAUCGAUUUGUCUCUUUUUUCAAGGUCUGACUCAAGGAUGAAGACUCUAACAGACUGCAUGUGAUGACUCCUGCAUGUGUUGGUAGUUACAGCUCCACCAAAACUAUCUUUAUUGACAAGUACCUCUCUUUCUCUGUCUUCUCUACUUUGGAUGAUAUUUCUUUUCAACCAUUAAUCCACCAAAAUUGACUUCUAGAAUGAGGUUAUCGUCAAUUUCUCUCAUAGCAUUGAUUUCUACGUUUACAGGAUCUGUUCAACAAGUAAAAGUCCUUGUAUUUAGAAUAAGAUUCCUUUAAACGUCAUUCCAGUCUCUAUAGAAUCAAUUACUAUUCAAACUUUACCAUGACUGAAAUUAUAACCGUCCGAACCUCACCUAACCCAACCUCCUACCCUUUUCUUUUAGGAGGGGAAAGAUAAAAGUGGCUUUCAGGUUCAAUGUACUGUCAAUUAAUUACUUGUUAGUAUCAACCUCCCUGUCUAUGGGAAUCCCUUUAUUUUUCUGGAAUAUUAUCUGUCCAUUGAAGCCCGACAGAAUCAAGUAUUCUUCAAUCCUUCCCAUGGGACAAUUCGCACCAAAAUUGCUGGCUCAUUAGGGGCACACU